AAUGGAGGAAACUCUGAUGCAGCGACGCCGCGUGAGUGACGAAGGCCUUCGGGUUGUAAAGCUCUGUUCUCUGGGAAAAAGAAAGUGAUUGUACCAGAGAAGAAAGGACCGGCUAACUUCGUGCCAGCAGCCGCGGUAAGACGAGGGGUCCAAGCGUUGUUCGGAAUUAUUGGGCGUAAAGCGGGUGUAGGUGGCUCUAUAAGUCAGGAGUGAAAUCCCCAAGCUUAACUUGGGAAGUGCUUUUGAUACUGCAGAGCUUGAAUGUGGGAGAGGAUAAUAGAAUUCCAGGUGUAGUGGUGAAAUACGUAGAUAUCUGGAGGAAUACCGGUGGCGAAGGCGGUUAUCUGGCCCAACAUUGACACUGAGACCCGAAAGCGUGGGGAUCAAA
rnacentral:rRNA from 1 species